UUACGGCUCAGUAACACGUGGACAACCUAACCUAUGGGGGGGGAUAACCCCGGGAAACUGGGGAUAAUACCCCAUAGACUAUAAAUGCUGGAAUGCUUUGUAGUUGAAAGGUCCGCCGCCAUAAGAUGGGUCUGCGGCCGAUUAGGUUGUUGUUGGGGUAACGGCCCAACAAGCCUGUAAUCGGUACGGGUUGUGGGAGCAAGAGCCCGGAGAUGGAUUCUGAGACACGAAUCCAGGCCCUACGGGGCGCAGCAGGCGCGAAAACUUUACAAUGCGGGAAACCGUGAUAAGGGAACUCCGAGUGCCCGUAAAAUCGGGCUGUCCAUCUGUGUAAAUAACAGGUGAAGAAAGGGCCGGGCAAGACCGGUGCCAGCCGCCGCGGUAAUACCGGCGGCUCGAGUGGUGGCCACUAUUACUGGGCUUAAAGCGUUCGUAGCUGGUCUGUUAAGUCUCUGGGGAAAUCUACUGGCUUAACCAAUAGGCGUCUCAGGGAUACUGGCAGACUAGGGACCGGGAGAGGUGAGAGGUACUCCAGGGGUAGGAGUGAAAUCCUGUAAUCCUUGGGGGACCACCUGUGGCGAAGGCGUCUCACCAGAACGGCUCCGACAGUGAGGGACGAAAGCUGGGGGAGCAAACCGGAUUAGAUACCUGGGUAGUCCCAGCUGUAAACGAUGCGCGUUAGGUGUAUCGAUGACCACGAGUCAUCGAGGUGCCGAAGAGAAA
rnacentral:rRNA from 1 species